rnacentral:lncRNA from 1 species
UUUCAAUGCUUGUAGCAACCAACCCUACCUGGCAACAUGUUCUUCUGCAAGCCAGAGGUUACAGGAUUGGCAUGAAGGGAUGUCUGUUGAGCGGCGGUUGUAGGAGACAUUUCUUUGCCCCAAGGAAAAGCUAGAAAAUUUGAUCUCUUUCUUCUCCGGGAUCUGGUCAUGUGGACAUGUGACUCUGGGAUCUGUGAAGCCUUGUUGCUGCCAGUUGGAGGAUGAAGCCAACACUGAGGAGGCCGAGCAGGAUGAGGGAUCUAUCUCCUUGAUCCUGCCAUUGAGCCAUGGACCCACUGCCUUGAAGCUGCAUCUCUGGACUUUACACUGCGUGAAAUAAUACAUAUCUUUAAUGUUUAAGCCAUUUUAGUUGUGUUUUCUAUUACUUUAGCUAAAAGUACCAUUACUAAUACUGAUGUCUCUGCUUUCAGCGAUGCAUCCCAAAAGCAGUGGGAGGAUUAAAAAAAUAUUCUGUAAUCG